rnacentral:snoRNA from 1 species
AGCGAGGAGGAGGAGGCACAGGGUUCCCCCUGAGAGCCAGGCUAGCUCUUGGUGUUGCUUUGCUGCAGGUGCCAUUUGCCAUUGAGGAUUGUUUUUCUCUUCCUCUGGGAAAGUAGGAGGGAGAGGACACAGUCUGAGUGGU